UUGAUAGGUCGGGUGUGUAAGCGCUGUGAGGCGUUGAGCUAACCGAUACUAAUUGCCCGUGAGGCUUGACCAUAUAACACCCAAGCAAUU
rnacentral:rRNA from 1 species